GAUGAACGCUGGCGGCGUGCCUAAUACAUGCAAGUCGAGCGAACGGACGAGAAGCUUGCUUCUCUGAUGUUAGCGGCGGACGGGUGAGUAACACGUGGAUAACCUACCUAUAAGACUGGGAUAACUUCGGGAAACCGGAGCUAAUACCGGAUAAUAUUUUGAACCGCAUGGUUCAAAAGUGAAAGACGGUCUUGCUGUCACUUAUAGAUGGAUCCGCGCUGCAUUAGCUAGUUGGUAAGGUAACGGCUUACCAAGGCAACGAUGCAUAGCCGACCUGAGAGGGUGAUCGGCCACACUGGAACUGAGACACGGUCCAGACUCCUACGGGAGGCAGCAGUAGGGAAUCUUCCGCAAUGGGCGAAAGCCUGACGGAGCAACGCCGCGUGAGUGAUGAAGGUCUUCGGAUCGUAAAACUCUGUUACUAGGGAAGAACAUAUGUGUAAGUAACUGUGCACAUCUUGACGGUACCUAAUCAGAAAGCCACGGCUAACCACGUG
rnacentral:rRNA from 1 species